rnacentral:misc_RNA from 1 species
AGAUCAAUGACAAAGUAAUAGUAAAGGAAAGGAAAUUCGAAAGAGGCAGAUAUAGAUAGUACUCACAAAUUACAAGUAUAAGAAUCAGAGUAAUGGCAGUAGGUAUUAAUAAAGUUGGUUCUGGAAGAACCUAUAAGUGAGAGGUAUCUUCCAGAAAAUAACAAAAGAUAGGAAUACUAGAAAAAUGAUGAUAGGCAUAGAGGACAAAUGAAGUAUGAGAAAAGAU